UACAGAGGUCUCAAGCGUUGUUCGGAUUCAUUGGGCGUAAAGGGUGCGUAGGCGGCGCGGUAAGUCGGGUGUGAAAUCUCGGAGCUUAACUCCGAAACUGCAUUCGAUACUGCCGUGCUUGAGGACUGGAGAGGAGACUGGAAUUUACGGUGUAGCGGUGAAAUGCGUAGAUAUCGUAAGGAAGACCAGUGGCGAAGGCGGGUCUCGUGGACAGUUCCUGACGCUGAGGCACGAAGGUCAGGGGAGGCAAACGGG
rnacentral:rRNA from 1 species